rnacentral:rRNA from 1 species
CAUACGUCCUACGGGAGAAAGCAGGGGACCUUCGGGCCUUGCGCUAUCAGAUGAGCCUAGGUCGGAUUAGCUUGUUGGUGAGGUAAUGGCUCACCAAGGCGACGAUCCGUAACUGGUCUGAGAGGAUGAUCAGUCACACUGGAACUGAGACACGGUCCAGACUCCUACGGGAGGCAGCAGUGGGGAAUAUUGGACAAUGGGCGAAAGCCUGAUCCAGCCAUGCCGCGUGUGUGAAGAAGGUCUUCGGAUUGUAAAGCACUUUAAGUUGGGAGGAAGGGCAGUAAGCUAAUACCUUGCUGUUUUGACGUUACCGACAGAAUAAGCACCGGCUAACUCUGUGCCAGCAGCCGCGGUAAUACAGAGGGUGCAAGCGUUAAUCGGAAUUACUGGGCGUAAAGCGCGCGUAGGUGGUUUGUUAAGUUGGAUGUGAAAGCCCCGGGCUCAACCUGGGAACUGCAUCCAAAACUGGCAAGCUAGAGUACGGUAGAGGGUGGUGGAAUUUCCUGUGUAGCGGUGAAAUGCGUAGAUAUAGGAAGGAACACCAGUGGCGAAGGCGACCACCUGGACUGAUACUGACACUGAGGUGCGAAAGCGUGGGGAGCAAACAGGAUUAGAUACCCUGGUAGUCCACGCCGUAAACGAUGUCAACUAGCCGUUGGAAUCCUUGAGAUUUUAGUGGCGCAGCUAACGCAUUAAGUUGACCGCCUGGGGAGUACGGCCGCAAGGUUAAAACUCAAAUGAAUUGACGGGGGCCCGCACAAGCGGUGGAG